CGCGGGAAUUCGAUUAGAGUUUGAUCAUGGCUCAGAACGAACGCUGGCGGCAUGCCUAACACAUGCAAGUCGAACGAAGGCUUCGGCCUUAGUGGCGCACGGGUGCGUAACGCGUGGGAAUCUGCCCCUUGGUUCGGAAUAACAGUUAGAAAUGACUGCUAAUACCGGAUGACGACGAAAGUCCAAAGAUUUAUCGCCCAGGGAUGAGCCCGCGUAGGAUUAGCUAGUUGGUGGGGUAAAGGCUCACCAAGGCAACGAUCCUUAGCUGGUCUGAGAGGAUGAUCAGCCACACUGGGACUGAGACACGGCCCAGACUCCUACGGGAGGCAGCAGUAGGGAAUAUUGGACAAUGGGCGAAAGCCUGAUCCAGCAAUGCCGUGUGAGUGAUGAAGGCCUUAGGGUUGUAAAGCUCUUUUACCCGAGAUGAUAAUGACAGUAUCGGGAGAAUAAGCUCCGGCUAACUCCGUGCCAGCAGCCGCGGUAAUACGAAUCACUAGUGAAUUCGCGGCCGCCUGCAGGUCGACCAUAUGGGAGAGCUCCCAACGCGUUG
rnacentral:rRNA from 1 species